rnacentral:lncRNA from 1 species
GAGGACAGGCAGUUCUGCCUCACUGAGGACCAGCAGUCUCUGUUACAGCACUUGAUUUUAUGCUGUUUUUAAAAUGUUUGCAAUGUUUUACGCAUUUGUCUGUCUUUCCUUAACCAGAAUAUAGAAAUGUGCAAAUAGGAAAGGAGAGGCAGAGAGACUCCAUCAAAGACCAUCCUCCAUCCUACAACUGAUGCCAUAGGAGCAGCUGUGUGGGGUAAUGUGAACUGGAUAGGAACCAUGGCAAGCACUGGACCCAGGCUGGAUGUCUAUGGGCUGAGUGCACAGGUGUGACUUCAAAAUUGGAGGGCCUGUGGUGACCCUACAUUUUCCUAUACCUUUUAAAGAAUGGGAAACCUCACAGUAGAGCACUAUCUGCUACAUCGCUGCUAUUGAAGAGUGAAUGGUCAAAAUUUUGCCUAAGUCACAGGAACAUCUUGUAUGGUCGGUUAUUCACUGCAGCCAACAAAGGACUACUUACGCAUUUCCUCAUGUUCCGCCUCUUCUGGUGCUCGCUGGUUUGUUUCUCGAAGCGUGGCAUGACCAGCACUGAGACAUGUUGAGGAAGCCAAGCUCACUAUUUCCCUGGCUGCAGGACACAGGAGCUUGGGGAUGCUUCACCCACAUGGGAUAUGAUGUCCAGAUGACUGUGGUAAGACCAUAGUGACUGGUUUUCUGCCACUCUCCCUGUCAGGGGUGAUAAUAGGCACUGCUGACUUUCAUUUCUGAGGUCUGGACCACUUUUUUAAGAGGUCAUUGAAAACUGGAAAAUCUAGGCAUGUGGAAGAGCAAAGGCAAAGGAAAGCAAAGUUUCUACAGUGCCUAUUCCAUUUUGAUUUCACUGCUCUGACUAGUUUGCACUUUUGAAGAGACAAGCCUUCUGAAAGAGAUGCACCCUCUCCAUGUGGAAAGUAGCUUGUUGGAUGAUUGCAUUAAUCUUGUCCCUCACCUGAAGCAGGUAGCUCAGACCAGCCAAAUGAGAAGCACAUGAAAGCUGGUGAGCCCACAUCAGUGCCUCCCCAACUGGGAGAGCUUCUCAGUUCCCAUUUCUAUGAAGUGGAGCAGUUAAGUAUAGCUUAUCCAGAUAAAAGGACUUUCCUUCUGAGAACAUGAAUUAACAAGCAAGUUAUAACUGGUGCUUGAUUUUAAGCCUAUGUCUCUAGUAUAUCAUUAGCUGGGUUUCUCCUUCUUUUGGGUUUUUAAAGCCAUGAAACCCACCACCCUGGUGAGAUCGAUGUGCCAAUCCCAGCUGGAAAGUGUUGUGCCCCCACAGCACCCACCUGUGUCCUAGCAUUCAAGCUUCUUUUCAAGCAAAAUGUAGAAACGAAACCCAUAGCAAUGCAACCCUCAUCUGUGGGAAAAGAUGGGUGGAGAGCUACUAAAAAAAAAUGAAAGCUCUGCAUUAUAAUAAGCCCUUGCUCUUGGAGACACAUAUAAAAGAAAUUUCAUGGUUUCUUGCUCUGAGAAGUGGAGUUGCAGUAGUUAAAACUUGUUAGACUCAGGAAGUUUCAGAGCAGUUGAAGGAUGAGAUCACUGUUCAAACAGCCAGUAAGGCAUGGUAGGGUAGGAAGGUGCAACUUCCUACCUGUUUGGGCAUGGUAAGGUAGGAAUCCACAACUAUUUCCAGCCUUUGGUCAGCUGCCCCUGAGCCCACUGACCCCUCCAUGGUGGAACACACACUGGAGCCAGAGCAGCCUGGCUCUUCACUGUUGACAGUGAAAGAAAUAUGUUUUUUCUCUGUAACCAGCUGCAUGUAAAGUGUAGUAAAAAGUCUUUUGGAGAGAAGUUGUAGUUAAGAUCAUUUUAGACCUAAUAUUUCUCCAGCAGCUGUGCAGCACACUUUGAGCUUGAUCCUUGCUUCUGUCACAAAGAUGCACAGAGUAGUUCUAGAGGUGCAAAACUCUAGUGCACCAGCCUUUGCCUACCUCCCAUAUAUCACUGCCAAGAAUGCAUAAUUUAAAAGUAAAGGGAAUAAAUCUCUGGAGGAAAUAAAAAUACCAGUUAAAGGGACCUCUUACAGGGUCACCACAGGGCAAUUUGUCUUCUCAUGUCUGGUCACCUGAACAAGAUGAGGUCAUCACCCUCUCUGGAGUCUUAGGAGGAGCCAAUACAACUAACUUUGAGGAGAAGACAACUAAGUCUAGAGGUAACAUGAAAGUGCAACAAGAUUGACAUGGCAUUGUAAAGCCUAGAGCUGAUCCUACGUGUUCCCAGACUGCCUCUAGUGCCUUUAUUGUGGAAUCAAUACUGAUGAAUGAGGCCUUAGAUUAAAUUUAUUUGAAAUUAUAUUUGAGUAUCAUAAAGCAGAAUGGUGCAUAGGUUAUUGCAGCAGCAUUAGUAUGUAAUGACUUUGAAUUGACCCAUUCAACUGUGUAGAAAUUUCACUUGAAGGAAUUCACUCUUUGGGAGAUUGGUUUCUGACAAAAUGUAGCCAUGGCAUAAGUGUUCAUGGUUUCUAUCUACAUCUCAAAAAAUAAGCUGAUAAAUUAACAUUUUACCCUGAAUUCUGUCAUCUAUAUGUGAGAGCUGACACAACCAUGUCGUGGAAAGGUUAUGUUGAACACCAAGGUGGGCAGUGCUGAGCAACCAGAUCAGCCCCAGCCAAGCUGAGCAGCAGGAAGGGUUGCAGCCAUCUGCCACACAGUUGGUUGACCCACCUGGGAUUAAUCUGUUCUUGAGUGGACAUACAAGGAAAAAGGUGUCAGUGUCCUCCAGCCUACCACCACUAAUUAACUGGCAUUGUUGCUGAUAUUAAUUGAUAUUCUUGCUGCUGCAGGAGAGAAGCCAGAAAGCAAGCAGGGCUGUCUGUCUCCUCUUUCUGAAAGUGAGCUUCUUGCAACAUGGACUGAGAUGUGUUAUCCAAAAGGUGAGAAGAAGCUGUGCCCAGCCACUGCCCAGGUGGCACCUGCUGUAUGGCAGCAUGGAGAUUGCCAGUCCCACAGGGGAUGCCAGUCUCAUGGAGGAUAUGAGUCACACAAAGCAGGUUUGGAGAAGCCUUGCCCUCUGGCUACCAAAGCAAGGUAACCCUGCCACAACACCACAGCAGGUGUGCAACAGAUGCAUGGAAGAGUCAGAAAAUUGGUACCUUUUGCAGACAGCUGUUUUUAUGUCAAAACCAUGUAAAAUGAAGAUAUUUGAUCCUUCUGACUUCAUAGCCACUGUUAAACAUCACUGCUGUAGCUGCCUGUCCAUCCAAGUACCCCAUUUUUUACAAAUCAGAGAUUGGCUUUAGGACAUGAUUACUCUGGCCCAACUUGUGCAAUUUUUCAAGAACAUCUGAAUAAAAAGAAUAAUUGCCUUAUUACUUAUAAACUCCAAAAGUGGUGAUGAUGCUAAGGAAGCCUGGGACAAAAAAACAGGACACUGUUCCUCUUGGGACCCUGUGAUGACUGAUGCAAAACUCCCCAUAACAACUAAGCAACUUUCUGUGUGAGAAGAUAUUAGAUUAUGGUGACAUUGACCCGUGUUUGUCUGCAUUUGUGAGCGCCUCUUCUGUGCAUGCUCUUGCCUCUUCCUUGGCUUAUGUGAGCUGGGUUGGUGCAACCAUCUGGAUCCAGGCAAAGACAGAGCCCUUCUGAAGUCCCAGAAGAUGUGCUUGUGCCACCCCCUUUGCCAAUAGAAGUGUGAGGGGGAGGAGAUCACUUCCCUUGGAGAAGUCAUGGCAUUUAGCUGGAGUCAGCAUGGUUUUCCAUCAGCUGAUCAGUUUGCAAAGGGAAUGCCUGGCUACAAGCAAGUCACACAGAGCAGCCAAAACAAGAUGGGGAAAUGACAGACAGAGCUUGGUGGGGCGAGCCUUGCCCUUUGAGCUGCCUUCCUGUGCCUGCCCUCCUGCAGAGACUCUUUCCUUGCAGCCUCCUCCUGUUCCCUGGCUCCGAGAGCCUGCAGAAGUCCAGCCUACAUUCGCCACAUGCCGUGGAAAAAUGAGUCAGUCAUUAAGGCUUUUAACAAUGAUGGAAGCACAACUGACACACCUGUGUCUAGUGCGUGGGAUAGGAGCAGCAGAAAAAUGUUGUACAAGUGACUGAUGUGCCAAAUUUCAUUUCACUUGUUGCAAAGAGAAAUUAUGUCCAUUAUCGUUGAGCAGUAGGCAAUUUUUAAUAGGUUAUUUUGUUAGCUGCAAUUUUAUAGUAAUCUGUUCCACAAAUGAACCAGUCUGCAUUCUUACAGGAGAAAAAAAAUUUUUUUUUAGAAAGACUAAGAUAAAUGAGGCAUGUUUAGCUAUUCUGGUUCAUAGAAUUGAUUUCUCUGUCUUUCAGGAAAGAUGGGCAUUUGAUAGGAAACUUCUGUCAUUUUUUCCCUCAGCUUUGUAGGGGAUGAAUUUGCCUCUUAUGUAAUUAUUCCCAUGUACCAAAGUUAGUGGCUGCUGGUCUUACAAUUGCAGAAUGAAGAUAGAUGAUCUUGAGAGUGAUUUGGGUGAGGAAGGAAAGGCCUGCUCAUCUUUGAGUCAACUAGAUCCAGGUGCUGGAUUUUGCAUGCUGUGGGGUUUGCCUGUAUUUUGUUUGCUUGUUUUCAAGAAGUUUACAGUGCCUCUGUAUCCUUCAUUCUCAGUGAAGAUCUGGGGCUUUUCUGGUAUGUAAACAUUCAUGGAUUAUUGUGCUUCAAGGUAUGAAUUAUUCUCAUAAAUGACAGCUAGACUCUCUCAGCCUAAGAAAGACAUCUUCUUCCACUCGGUUUGGAGUCACUCUGUUAAGUGCAGGACCCUCAGGCUGGGUUUGCAGCCCUCCCUGCUGCUUCCACCUGUUUGUGUCAUCUUCCACCAGAAAAAAUUGCUCAUUUUAGCAGAUAGAGACCCAGUCACAAUAUAUAUGGACUGAAAAGUGUGAGAACCAGAGGGGUUUUUUUCAUACCACUUUCCCCUUGUCCCUGGCUGUGGUUGUGGGUGACCCAGUGAUGCAUUGAAGGAUCUCAACUGACAGCACUAAAAACAACCAUUAUAGACCUACUUUCUUACUGUGCUGAGAAAGAAAGACCUGCAGGGUACCCAGGGCAUCACCUGCUGCCCUGGCCAGAGCCCUGCCCAAAAACCUCUCCCCUUGCCCCUCCCUUACUGCUGAUUUGCAUAGAAGGAGAUAGCACUAUGAGCUGUUCAUGUGUUACCUCAAAUCCAAGGGAGGCAUUGGGAAGUAUACAGCAUACAUAUACUAUAAUUAUUAUAAAUAUGCUAAAUAAUUAAUUUGGGAAGUAUAUAGCAUAUAAUUCCCUGUAACAGUUCUCUGCCAUCCAGGAAAGGAUGGUUUCUGGAGUGCAUCCUGGUUGCUUAAAGAGAGCAGAGAAUUUGUAGCUGGAAUUGCUCAGGGCAUACAAAGGCUCUGGCAGACUGAAAGCAAAACCUCUCUGCAGGAAACAUUUGGCAUCUCUUCUCCCCAGAAGCCCAUAUACAGUGCAUAAGGGGGCUCUGCAAAUACUCCCAGCAUAUUCAACAGGAGCAGUCUAUAGCUGUUUGCACUACAUCUAACCAAGGCAUCUGUUCAUCUUUUUGUCAUUCUUCUUUGUCUUGUAUCACAGAAAAGCACAUCAAGAAUUAAGAUACAAUGAUAGAUUUCACUGUGGUUUUUUUUUCUUUUUCUUUUUUUAGCAGCUAAUUUAGAUAUUUAGAUUUAUAACACCAAGUAGGGAACAUUUUAUGGGACCUCUGACUUAAAACAUUGGCAACACAUCAUUGAAGAAGUCUGCCUUUCCUUUUCAAAAAAACAUGGAAAUAUCAAGCUGGAACAGCCUGAGAUGGUCAGCCAGCUGUUUGCUAUUUGAAUCCCAUGAAAACUCAAAUACAGCUGCAGGUUCAACUUUGUUCUGGUCAAAUAUGGCAGUCCUGGAACGUGCUCCUUUACACUGGGGCAUGAAUAGUGUCAAAAUUAAUGCUAUUCUCUUACAGUAUGGAUUAAAAGCUGUUUGACAGCUCCCUAAAGGCAUGAGUGAAUGAGGAAUUAUUCAGGAGUGGAUUUCUCUCUAAGGAGGUCCCACAAAGAUCAAUUACUGACUCUUUUUUUUUUUUUUUUUCUACUGAAUAUUUUAAUCAGUGAUUUGGGGAAAGAACCAAAAAAAAAAUCCACAAAUAGGAAACUUGCAGGUGGGGAAAAAAAUCAUGCACUACUUUGAGCAGAAGAAACCCAAGGGCAUUUUAACACAGCCAAAUAUGAAAUUGAAAACCUGUAACUGCAGAGUAUAGGUUGUAUUUACAGAACUCUAUCUUGCAGGUAUAUUGAGAUAUCCUGGAAAUGACCUGAGCAUUUAAAAUAUGCCCACUGCUAUUCAAUAGCUCAUGCUGCACCAGCAGGUCUGAACAAGCCUUGAUCAGAGGCUGUAGAAUCAAGACAGGCUCUAGGAAGAGGAGCAGAAGGGGGAGGAGGAGGAGGAGGAUACAUCCAUCAUACCUGCAUCAAAUAUGAUUAUUGCCACAGUGGACUAUCCAUUACUUGUUACCUGGUCAAGCAGGACAUUGAGAAUAUGAGGAGUGUUCAAGAAAAAAGCCAAAAGACAAGGAAUAUGAUCACAAAAAUAUGCUAAAAAAUUAAAUAAUCCAGAAACCCUAUCAGUUUUACUUAAGCAAAAGGAAGAAAUACGAUCGCAGUCUACAAUUAGUAAAGUAAGGAACAGAAGUUUGAAGGCUCUUUGUUCUGCAAAGAAAAGUGUAACAGCAGGCAGUGCCAGGUGUUGAAAACAGAAAACUUCAGAUGAGAAACAUGCCACAAAUUAAGUAUGUGAGUUCUCUGAGUUUGCUUAGCUUACUGGUUUCUAGGGUACUGGAAAUUUUAAAAUUAAUUUAAUGUCUUCUGGAAUAGAUGCUCUUGCUCCAAUUAAUUUGAAGAAAGCUUAUCAUCUGCCAUAUGCAGACAGUUAGAGAAAUGGUCACUCACAGUUCCCCCUGGACUUCUGAGGAUAAACCCCAAGUUAUUACCAAUGCUCGAUACUUAUUUGAUGCAGCACAGAGCUCUGUCACCUAUAUGUGAGAGCUGACACAACCAUGUCCUAGUGCAAGAAGGGCUGGCUUGCUUGUUUGCUUGAGCUGAGACACAUAAAUUCUGCUUACAGCCUAUUCUGGGCACCAGUUCCAUGGGCAGCGUCCUCGGCGAGGGGGCUCAGGCUUCUUGUGCUCCCACUGCUGCUGCCUGGGAGCUAGAGCAGGGCAGGCUGUCUGUGGCUGCUUGUGUCUCCUUGCCAGGGACCAGGGAGACACCCCACGCUUCAUAUGAUCCUACCAGGAUUUGUGAAUAAUAAAGGCUCACUUUGUAGAGAACGGCCUCAAUGUUCUCCCAAAUGCCGGAAUUAAUUCUAGCACCAUCCAUGCGGCUCUUAGCAAAGAGAACAAAAGGUCUUGGAAAAGCUCUCGAGCUAGUUCAGUGCAAAAAACAACACAUUAAUGUAUAAGAAAGGAUGAGGCAGGAAGAUUUUUGUGGUUAAAUCAGUUGGUAACAUCGACAUCCUGCACAAACAGCAUUGUUGGUUUGUUUUUGGGGGUUUUUUUUGUGCUCCUUUUCUUUUUUGGGAGUCCUGUAUCCUUGGUCAGAAGGAAAUGCCAUCCUGGGGUGAGACUACUGGAAGCAGAAAAUGGGUUUUAUUCAUACUGAGAAUCCCAAACCAUGUCAGUGCUAACAAACUGGAAAGAAAAAAAAAAAAAAAAA